AUUGAACGCUGGCGGCAGGCCUAACACAUGCAAGUCGAACGAGUGGCGGACGGGUGAGUAAUGUCUGGGAACCUGCCUGAUGGAGGGGGAUAACUACUGGAAACGGUAGCUAAUACCGCAUACCAUCAGAUGGGCUCAGAUGGGAUUCGCUAGUUGGGGGGGUAACGGCUCACCAAGGCGACGAGCCCUAGCUGGUCUGAGAGGAUGACCGGCCACACUGGAACUGAGACACGGUCCAGACUCCUACGGGAGGCAGCAGUGGGGAAUAUUGCACAAUGGGCGCAAGCCUGAUGCAGCCAUGCCGCGUGUAUGAAGAAGGCUUUCGGGUUGUAAAGUACUUUCAGCGGGGAAGCGUUACCCGCAGAAGAAGCACCGGCUAACUCCGUGCCAGCCGCCGCGGUAAUUC
rnacentral:rRNA from 1 species